UUGAAUGAAAUGGCCAAGGCUAUCAGGCACGAGUAGGUUAGCUAACCUAGCUAUAACUUCUAGAAGCUACAUUUAUAGUGGCUGCUAAUAACUAUGCAGGCUAACGUGAACAGGGGGUUGACGCACCUCAAUAUGAUGCCGACAAGUGAAGGGAUCUUUAGUUUGUGAAGGGUAACGUAUAGUGUUAUAUUAAGCCAUCCUUACACCAGAAGACUUGACCAGAUUUGGGUAAGAUUAUUGAAAGAUUGUAGUCUUUUGAGUAAAGCUUGAAAGCCAAAUCUUGUCAAAGGUUUCUGAUGUAUGGGUAGCAUUAGGCAAAAUGUUCUUCAUUUCAUAGCCCUUAUUUGGUUGUACCUGACUUGUGCCAAGGCAUGUGUUUAUUUAAGAUGCAUGUGAGGGCAUUAGUGCUUCAGUGAUAGUCUUUUCACGUUAUGUGUAAGCUUAUUUUGCAAUUUAUUAAUCUUAAUUUCCCUCUGUUCUCUGUUUGCAGGCAGUGAGUUGUGAGGACUGAUUCCCUGAGAACACUGAGUGCAUUCUGGAAUAUUCCAAAUGUGUGCCACUUCCAUACAAAAUAAGUUUCAAUCCCGCAAGAGUUCACUCACCAGUGGGCUCCAUCAACAGACCAGGGCAAAGUCGGUCUGUCCUGCUACUACUACAUGCUACUUGACUAUGUCUGGAAGCCAUGGCUGCUGCCCUCAACAUGCUAAACUGAAACCCUCACAAAUAAACUGAUAUCAAUAAUUAACAUUGAUGGUGGCAAGGGUGCCUUAAUAAGGUGCCAUCCAGCAAGUCCCAGCCUGGAGCCAGAGGCUGGCACUGCCCUUCAGAUGGGGGAGGAUCUAUGUUAGGCAUCAGAAAGGUGGUUUAAGCAAGAAGGAAAGAGCUUCUGCAGACAGUGUUGCAAUUAGACACCUGACUUUUACUGUCAAAGGGACCAUCAGAGCACCUCUCCCUACCAUCUAUACCAGAAGAGUACGGACAAGGGCCCAAAAUGUUUUAAAGGACGUUGCACGCCCAGACCAUGGACUGUUUAAACCACUGUGAUCAAGCAGAAGUCUCUGUUCUCACUCGAGGCAGGUCAUUGAGAGGGGGCGAGUGUCACUGCGUAAGCCCCCUACUGCAGACGAGAAAGCCGUGUUGAUUUGAAUAUUGAUUGAUAAAUACAAUAAAGGCCAUGUAACAAAUUUUAUUGCCUGUCGUACAGUAUAUGAAUUUUCAUGGUAAAGUAAAAUAAGUCAUUGGGAUUUAGCAGGUGUAAGUAAAUAAUGUAAUUAAGUGUAUGUAAAAUUAAUGUGAAAUAUUAUUUAAGUUAAAGAUGCACAAUAAGCUCAGUGAUGGUUAUGUACUAUCUCACAUUUAAAACCAUUACAUAAA